UACGUAGGUGGCAAGCGUUGUCCGGAAUUAUUGGGCGUAAAGCGCGCGCAGGCGGUCCUUUAAGUCUGAUGUGAAAGCCCACGGCUCAACCGUGGAGGGUCAUUGGAAACUGGGGGACUUGAGUACAGAAGAGAAAAGUGGAAUUCCACGUGUAGCGGUGAAAUGCGUAGAGAUGUGGAGGAACACCAGUGGCGAAGGCGACUUUCUGGUCUGUAACUGACGCUGAGGCGCGAAAGCGUGGGGAGCAAACAGG
rnacentral:rRNA from 1 species